AGCAGAUCGGAGGGUGCACCUUGCUCGUUUUUGCAGAUGGAAAGAAACUCAGAUCUUUGAAGGGCACAGUUGUUUGGGCAUCCCACUGUUACUGCUAGCACAACCAGUUAAUGGCUUCUCACAAAAAUAUAAGGCUGCUUCUUCUGUGACAUAUAGACAGAGGCCGAUGUAAAUUCGUGGAAAACCUUUGUCAUCAUCGGUCGGAAGGAGGCAACCAGUUUGCUCAGCUUUACAACAAAUGCAUGGCGUGAAGCAGCAACUGGAGUACUUUCUAUCUAUUUCUUCAAACUUCCAUCUGACAUUUUCUAGUUAAUUUUUUUCUGCUUUACUCUGUAUGUGUGAAUAUGCAUGCUUGCUUGCAUGCAUAUGUGUAUGUGUCUGUGGCAGAAAGAGAGAAAGAGGGAGAGAGAGAAAGGACACAGUUGAGCGGCAAAAAAGGAGUCCACCCAUGAGGAAUGAGAUUCCUUCACC